rnacentral:rRNA from 1 species
GAUGAACGCUGGCGGCGUGCCUAAUACAUGCAAGUCGAGCGAACAGACGAGGAGCUUGCUCCUCUGACGUUAGCGGCGGACGGGUGAGUAACACGUGGAUAACCUACCUAUAAGACUGGGAUAACUUCGGGAAACCGGAGCUAAUACCGGAUAAUAUAUUGAACCGCAUUGUUCAAUAGUGAAAGACGGUUUUGCUGUCACUUAUAGAUGGAUCCGCGCCGCAUUAGCUAGUUGGUAAGGUAACGGCUUACCAAGGCAACGAUGCGUAGCCGACCUGAGAGGGUGAUCGGCCACACUGGAACUGAGACACGGUCCAGACUCCUACGGGAGGCAGCAGUAGGGAAUCGUCCGCAAUGGGCGAAAGCCUGACGGAGCAACGCCGCGUGAGUGAUAAAGGUCUUCGGAUCGUAAAACUCUGUUAUUAGGGAAGAACAAAUGUGUAAGUAACUAUGCACGUCUUGACGGUACCUAAUCAGAAAGCCACGGCUAACUACGUG